rnacentral:rRNA from 1 species
AUUGAACGCUGGCGGCAGGCUUAACACAUGCAAGUCGAGCGGAGUGAUGGUGCUUGCACUAUCACUUAGCGGCGGACGGGUGAGUAAUGCUUAGGAAUCUGCCAUUUAGUGGGGGACAACAUUCCGAAAGGAAUGCUAAUACCGCAUACGUCCUACGGGAGAAAGCAGGGGAUCUUCGGACCUUGCGCUAAAUGAUGAGCCUAAGUCGGGUUAGCUAGUUGGUGGGGUAAAGGCCUACCAAGGCGACGAUCUGUAGCGGGUCUGAGAGGAUGAUCCGCCACACUGGGACUGAGACACGGCCCAGACUCCUACGGGAGGCAGCAGUGGGGAAUAUUGGACAAUGGGCGGAAGCCUGAUCCAGCCAUGCCGCGUGUGUGAAGAAGGCCCUUUUGUUGUAAAGCACUUUAAGCGAGGAGGAGGCUACUAGUACUAAUACUACUGGAUAGUGGACGUUACUCGCAGAAUAAGCACCGGCUAACUCUGUGCCAGCCGCCGCAGUAAUAC